GAUGAACGCUAGCUACAGGCUUAACACAUGCAAGUCGAGGGACCGGCGCACGGGUGAGUAACACGUAUCCAACCUGCCCUUUACUCGGGGAUAGCCUUUCGAAAGAAAGAUUAAUACCCGAUAUAAAGGAUGGGGAUGCGUUCCAUUAGGUUGUUGGUGAGGUAACGGCUCACCAAGCCUUCGAUGGAUAGGGGUUCUGAGAGGAAGGGGCCGGACAUUGGAACGGAGGGGCGGUCCAAACGCUUAGGGGAGGCAGGAGUGAGGAAGAGUGGUGAAUGGGCGCUAGGCUGAACCAGCGAGGGAGCGGGAAGGAGGAAGGCGUAUGGGUGGUAAACGUCUGGUAGAUAGGAAUAGGUAUUAUAUGAAUAAGGAGGGGCUAACUCCGUGCCAGCAGCCGCGGUAAUAC
rnacentral:rRNA from 1 species